UCGGACUAUUUCACUAGAUUCCAACAACUAGAACCAAAUUUUAUGGCAUUACCAAAUUCAGAUAAAUUAAAUUAUAUUUUGGGAGAAAACUCCAGCUCAAUCAUAACAGCAGCAAAGUAUGUAACAGCCUGCCACAAACUACGAGAGUCAGCCAGUGGACAAAACUAAGGAAAGUUAAUUUAUGAGCCUGUUACUCCAUCAUGCAAGGCUGGCGGCACACUAGCGGACUUCUACAUAAUGGUUAGGGGUGUCACAUCUACCGUACUGUUUUUGCUGAAAUCACCCCAACUUCUGUAGUAAGUCUUACAUAACUUAAGGUUACAUAACCACCAUGGAUGUCAAUCAGAGUUUGCUUUAUGACGCGUUUGCCGAGGGAAAAGUAGAGACUCAACCCACCUCUUGAGAGACAUGACCUCAUCAUCUCCCUCCGAUUCUCCAGUGACUAUGUAAAAUAUAAGUGGCAAUUAUUGGGGUCCAAGGACAUGUGAAGGGAAGAUGACCAAAAUAGCCAAAUUUGACAGAAUAUAUGUUUUGGACACAGUCGAUUUGGUGUCAAACCUCAAUGGCUUUGCAUACAGUUAUACUGUUAUAGCACCCCCCUAUCAAUGGAAAUUAGUGUAAUUUGGCACGUGACCUCAGAACGUUAUGUUGUCCAUGUGUACCAAGUUUUGUCAAGUUUCAAUGUUGCAGUCACAAGAUACUGGCCGAUUAGUAAUAAUGGUCCUCACCAAACACGUAUUGGCAUAAAUUUACAUUUACAUUUAUGCAUUUGGCAGACGCUUUUAUCCAAAGUGACUUACAGUGCACUUAUUACAGGGACAAUCCCCCCGGAGCAACCUGGAGUUAAGUGCCUUGGUCAAGGACACAAUGGUGGUGGCUGUGGGGAUCGAACCAGCAACCUUCUGAUUACCAGUUAUGUGCUUUAGCCCACUACGCCACCAUCACAUUUCGAUUCUAGGGUUAGGGUUAUACCAUGUGGUUCAGGAUAUAUGGUCCGAGCAUGUGGGCGCCUGAGUAGUGGUUAGGAUUUGGAGCCACCCUGCCAAGUUUGGGGUCUCUGAUGCCCAGACACUAUUGUGGUACUACCUUUGGUGCUUGGGUCCCCUAAUGAAAAUUACGAUAGAAAAAUGGCUAACAGCGGCCAGCUUAAUGGGAAUCAACUGGUUAAUUUAAACCAACAGUCCUCCAUUAAACAAAUUUUUUUAAGAAAAACAGUCUGAGUCACCUUCUCUCUCAGACGCUGCUUGAGAGUGUCGAGACGGGCCAUGCUCCAUUUUCUGGUUGAGUUUCUCCUCUGUCAUCUUGCUGUAGUUGUUGUUCACCUCCUGGGCCUUGUUGGGCACAUCCCUCUCGUGCUCCCGUUUCUCUGCCAACUGCUGCAGGACCUGCUUCUCCUGGGACAAACAAAUAAGAGUGGAGAUGCCACAGUGACCGUGAUUUCACCCAGUAGAACAUCUUUGUUGAUCCUGGAACAACAUUCAGAAAAAAGCUGCCUGCAAUCCCGCUGCAUCCUCCACAGGAGACAGAAUAUUCCAGACCUCACCUGAAACUGCAGCUGGAGGUGGAUGGAUGCUGGGCAAAGAGAAUGAAGAAGAGAGAAGAUGAACUGUGGGAGUGUCGGACGGCUGCUGGGGAGUAUAAGCAGAGUGAUGGAUGCAGGAGGAGGAGGAGCAGAGAGAGAAAUGUAAAGUGAUAGAGAAAGAGUUACAUAUGCAGCACGGUUGUCUUGGAAACAAAUGGUAUUUCUGUUUCUCACAUGCAUAAAAGAAAACUAUUCUGAUGCAUCAAAUUAAUAAAUAUUAUACUCUAUAUAGCGGGUGUUCAACAGCGUGUCUGCCAAUUAUUGUUUGAAGUUAAAGAACGUUUUAUUGUCUCUCCCACAUACAAAUGUGUUAAGUAAAAUGAAAAUGUAAUGAAUAUUUAAUACAGAUCACACUUUACAGUAAUAAUCCCUUUAUUAAGGGGUUUAUUAAUAUAGUAAUGCUCAUAAAUGCAUUAUAAAUCAUUAAUACACUGUUAUAACAUCAUGCAUAAGUAGUGUGACUAUCGCACAAUAGGUGCCAAAUAGUGAACCACUUUCCCUUGUGUUAUAAAUGCUUAGUAACACUUAUUCACCAUUAGUAACGUAAGCAAAUAUACCUUGCAAACAUUGGAAACCUUUAUGGUUUAAUGGUUGUCAUGCUUCAUUGUAUGAUAAUGUAUGUGAAUGAGCAUUAAGACCUGAAAAGUGUUUUUGCAGAGUACAUUUAGUAACUAGGACUACUUUUCACCUUGUCAAGAGCUGACAAAAGUCAUAAAAUAGGACAUUUUUUGUUCUUAUUAAUGCAAGUAUGAGUGUUUAUUAAGUAUUUAUAACAUGCAAGUUAAAAUGCUCACUAAUUGGCAAACACAAAUACCUUUUGCAUGUCGCUAACUGCUUAUAAAUUAUUUAUAAUGCAUUUGUAAAUCAUUAACAAACCCCUUUAUAUACAUUUAACACAUUGAACUUCACUGUUAAGUGUUGCUACAAUAAUGUAAUGUACUGCAACUCUAGACAUCAACAAUGGCUUUGCGUUGUAAGCAUAAUCAAGCUCGUAAAAAUAUGAAGAUGGCACUGAAUAACUCUGGCUUGAAAAGGGGCAGAAGACCCCCUGAUAUUCAGAUUAGAGUUACCAAAUGAAGUCAGACUGAAUGUAUUUAAAUGGUUAAAUAAUGUACUUGUCAUCUGCUGAUAAAACACAAAGACAUGAAGGAUAAACUAACAGGAUGUUAUUAAUGCAAGUACAUAUAAAUAUGUAAAUACAGCGGUCCUGAAAAGUACAAGUCUGAAUGUGGGCUUUAGUAACAGGUCAAUAUUUUUAGAUACUGUCUAUUUAUUUGGUGUAUCGGGGGUCUUUUGUGCUGUCGAUGAGGUAUUGGUUUCUCGGGUGGUAUAUAGUCCUGUGACGAACACUUAAGACAGUAUUUUAUUGUUUUCAAUCAGCUAUUGAUCCAUGACUGUCACGGGCAUACAGUACUCUAAUUAAUGUUCUAGAACAACCUUGUCAUUUCUGAUGGAAAUAAAU